rnacentral:guide_RNA from 1 species
AAAAUAACACAGAACACAAUAAAAGGUACGAGAGAGAAUUAAGUGAAUA